GCUGGUGUGGCUCAGAGGUAGAGCAGCGCACUCGUAAUGCGCAGGUCGUCGGUUCAAAUCCGACCACCAGCU
rnacentral:tRNA from 1 species